UGAAAGGGAUUGGAAACUUCCGUUCGCGGCUGGAAAUGCUAGUUACCUAUACCGUAUUAAUUUUAGGCCAAUUUACUCUAAGUAAUCGUAUGUAAAAUUAAAAAUGGCUGGAGAAGUGAAGCAGAUAACCCUUCAAUAAUGUAGAGGGACACUCUUUCUACUUGCCCAAGUAGUCUGCUGUGGCAAUCAUGAUGUUUGCAGUUGGAAUUCAUUGUUAAUCAGCACUGUCAAUCAUUAAUCACCAUUAUUACAUGUUUAAUUGUAUAUUUUCUGUAAUUUAUAAUCUAUAUGAUUGAGAGUGUGCCAGUGACCUCCGGUAUGUUCUAAGCAUUAGAAUGGUGUGAUAGUUGAUGUCAUAGACCAUUUAGUUUU